CUGGGAUUAGAUACCCCACUAUGCCUUGCCGUAAAAUAUUAACCACACAUACCAACGCCCGGGUAUUACGAGCCUAAGCUUAAAACCCAAAGGACUUGACGGUGUCCCACCCCCCUAGAGGAGCCUGUUCUAUAAUCGAUACUCCCCGCUAUACCUCACCAUUUUUAGCCUCUCAGCCUGUAUACCUCCGUCGCAAGCUUACCAUGUGAACGUUAUUAGUAAGCCCAAUGGCCCUUUCACCAACACGUCAGGUCAAGGUGCAGCUCAUGAAAUGGGAAGCAAUGGGCUACAAUUUCUAACAUAGAACAAACGAAAGACUGCAUGAAACACAGUCAUGAAGGUGGAUUUAGUAGUAAAAAGAAAUCAAAGAGUUCUUUUUAACACGGCACUGGGACGUGUACACACCGCCCGUCACC
rnacentral:rRNA from 1 species